rnacentral:rRNA from 1 species
UGGGGAAUAUUGCACAAUGGAGGGAACUCUGAUGCAGCGACGCCGCGUGAACGAAGAAGGCUUUCGAGUCGUAAAGUUCUUGUAUAUGGGAAGAUAAUGACGGUACCAUAAGAAGAAGCCCCGGCUAACUACGUGCCAGCAGCCGCGGUAAUACGUAGGGGGCUAGCGUUGUCCGGAAUCACUGGGCGUAAAGGGUUCGCAGGCGGAAAUGCAAGUCAGGUGUAAAAGGCAGUAGCUUAACUACUGUAAGCAUUUGAAACUGCAUAUCUUGAGAAGAGUAGAGGUAAGUGGAAUUUUUAGUGUAGCGGUGAAAUGCGUAGAUAUUAAAAAGAAUACCGGUGGCGAAGGCGACUUACUGGGCUCAUUCUGACGCUGAGGAACGAAAGCGUGGGUAGCAAACAGG